rnacentral:rRNA from 1 species
GAUGAACGCUAGCGAUAGGCUUAACACAUGCAAGUCGAGGGGCAGCACAAGGUAGCUUGCUAUCUGGGUGGCGACCGGCGCACGGGUGCGUAACGCGUAUGCAACUUGCCCUAUACAGGAGGAUAACCCGUCGAAAGACGGACUAAUACUGCGUAUGCUCACAACUUGGCAUCAAGUGGUGAGGAAAGAAAUUCGGUAUAGGAUAGGCAUGCGUCCCAUUAGCUUGUUGGUGAGGUAACGGCUCACCAAGGCAACGAUGGGUAGGGGAACUGAGAGGUUUUUCCCCCAGAGUGGUACUGGGACACGGACCAGACUCCUACGGGAGGCAGCAGUGAGGAAUAUUGGUCAAUGGGCGCGAGCCUGAACCAGCCAAGUCGCGUGAAGGAUGACUGUCCUAUGGAUUGUAAACUUCUUGUAGACGGGAAUAACAAGAGUCACGUGUGACUCCCUGCAUGUACCGUAUGAAUAAGCAUCGGCUAACUCCGUG